CGGUAAUUCCAGCUCCAAUAGCGUAUACUAAUGUUGUUGCAGUUAAAAAGCUCGUAGUCGGAUUUCAGCUUUGCUCAUCUUUUCCACUUUGGAUCUGCUGGGGAGGGCUUCUUUGACGGAAGUAUUCCUGACAUUCAUUUGUUGGGUUUUUCAACCGUCUCUUUUACUUUGAGAAAAUUAGAGUGUUCAAAGCAGGCAUUGCCUGAAUAUUACUCUUGGAAUAAUAAUAGAUGACUCUGGUGCUAGUUUGUUGGUGCACUGGUGCCGGAGUAAUGAUUAAUAGCGACGGUUGGGGUCAUUCGUACUGCAAAGCGAGAGGUGAAAUUCUUGGACCUUUGUAUGACGAACAACUGCGAAAGCAUUUGACUAGGACGUUCGCGUUGAUCAAGAACGAAAGUUGGGGGAUCGAAGACGAUCAGAUACCGUCGUAGUCUCAACCAUAAACUAUGCCAGCUAGGGAUGAGCGAUUGUCUUCAACUGACCUCGUUUGCACCUUAUGAGAAAUCAAAGCAUUUGGGUUCCGGGGGGAGUAUGGUCGCAAGGCUGAAACUUAAAGGAAUUGACGGGAGGGCACCACCAGGAGUGGAGCCUGUUGCUUAAUUUGAUUCAACACGGGGAAACUUACCAGGUCCGGACAUAGUAAGGAUUGACAGAUUGAAAGCUCUUUCUUGAUUCUAUGGGUGGUGGUGCAUGGCCGUUCUUAGUUGGUGGAGUGAUUUGUCUGGUUAAUUCCGUUAACGAACGAGACCUCAGCCUACUAAAUAGUCACACUUCACCUGUGAGGUGUGUACUUCUUAGAGGGACUACUUGCAUAUAAACAAGCUGGAAGCUUGAGGCAAUAACAGGUCUGUGAUGCCCUUAGAUGUUCUGGGCUGCUAACGGGCUACACUGGUGCAUUCAACAAGCCUUUUCCCUGGUCCGAAAGGUCUGGGUAAUCUUUGAAAUUGCACCGUGCUUGGGAUAGACUAUUGCAAUUUUUAGUCUUCAACGAGGAAUUCCUAGUAAACGCGAGUCAUCAACUCGCAUUGAUUACGUCCCUGCCCUUUGUACACACCGCCCGUCGCUCCUACCGAUUGGAUGAUUCGGUGAGCUCUUGGGACUGGCUGCUGUGUCUCCCUAACGGGAGCUCGGCAUCGGAAACUUGAUCAAACCUAAUUAUCUAGAGGAAGGAGAAGUCGUAACAAGGUAGCCG
rnacentral:rRNA from 1 species